rnacentral:rRNA from 1 species
AACGAACGCUGGCGGCAUGCCUAACACAUGCAAGUCGAACGAUGCCUUCGGGCAUAGUGGCGCACGGGUGCGUAACGCGUGGGAAUCUGCCUUUCGGUUCGGAAUAACUCAGGGAAACUUGAGCUAAUACCGGAUAACGUCGCAAGACCCAAGAUUUAUCACCGAAAGAUGAGCCCGCGUAGGAUUAGCUAGUUGGUGAGGUAAAGGCUCACCAAGGCGACGAUCCUUAGCUGGUCUGAGAGGAUGAUCAGCCACACUGGGACUGAGACACGGCCCAGACUCCUACGGGAGGCAGCAGUGGGGAAUAUUGGACAAUGGGCGAAAGCCUGAUCCAGCAAUGCCGCGUGAGUGAUGAAGGCCUUAGGGUUGUAAAGCUCUUUUACCCGGGAAGAUAAUGACGGUACCGGGAGAAUAAGCCCCGGCUAACUCCGUG